GAUGAACGCUGGCGGCGUGCUUAACACAUGCAAGUCGAACGAACCUUCGGGUUAGUGGCGGACGGGUGAGUAACGCGUGAGAAUCUGCCCUCAGGAGGGGGAUAACGGCUGGAAACGGCCGCUAAUACCCCAUAUGCCGAGAGGUGAAACGAAUUUCGCCUGAGGAUGAGCUCGCGUCUGAUUAGCUAGUUGGUGGGGUAAAGGCCUACCAAGGCGUCGAUCAGUAGCUGGUCUGAGAGGAUGAUCAGCCACACUGGGACUGAGACACGGCCCAGACUCCUACGGGAGGCAGCAGUGGGGAAUUUUCCGCAAUGGGCGAAAGCCUGACGGAGCAACGCCGCGUGAGGGAUGAAGGCCUCUGGGCUGUAAACCUCUUUUCUCAAGGAAGAAGAUCUGACGGUACUUGAGGAAUAAGCCACGGCUAAUUCCGUG
rnacentral:rRNA from 1 species